rnacentral:rRNA from 1 species
AACGUAGGAGCCAAGCGUUAUCCGAAUUCACUGGGCGUAAAGCGCGUGCAGGCGGCAUGAUAAGUUGGAUGUGAAAUCUCCUGGCUCAACUGGGAGGGGACGUUCAAUACUGUCAAGCUAGAGGACGGCAGAGGGAGGUGGAAUUCCCGGUGUAGUGGUGAAAUGCGUAGAUAUCGGGAGGAACACCAGUGGCGAAAGCGGCCUUCUGGGCCGAUCCUGACGCUCAGACGCGAAAGCUAGGGGAGCGAACGGGAUUAGAUACCCUAGUAGUCC